AUGUAUUUCCCGAUGCUGAAUAAAGGGAAUGUUUUCCCAUAUUAUGGAGAAUUUUGUGAAAUGGUUCCAUGUGUUUGGAAGGGUAUAUCUUGUGGCAAGGGCUUAUAUAGGAGAGGUGUUCACAGAACAUAUGGAAGCAAUUAUUUGAUAAUAAUAUGGGGUAUGGAUUUUGUUAAGUUAGUGCAUACUCUCAAGUGGGCGAGGUGUGUCUUCAAUCCAGACAUUAAGUGUGAGCUCAUCUCUAGUAACAUAGGAGGGAUUUUCAACAACUGGUUCGGAGAUAUAAUGGACUUAUUACUGAACUAG
rnacentral:rRNA from 1 species